AAACAAUUUAAAUAUAAUAUUUUAUCGUAAUUUCAUAAUUAAAAACCAAAUAUAACUAAGUGUCAAUAGCUCACUCGCUAAAUUAUCUGAGGCACAGUUGCUAGUUCGAGUGGCGUUUGGGAAUGAAUCAUAUAAAAUGAUUUUGUCCUCCUCAAAUCACUUGCUUCUCAACUUCUCCUCUCAUGUCGUUUUGUUUGUAGUUGAUUGGUGACCUGUUCGAUUACCAGCUCGGAAUCUCCCUAUCAUCAGGUAGUGCGUGCCAUUCAGA
rnacentral:lncRNA from 1 species